AAUUGAUUGGAGAAGAAGUCAUUAUUUAGAUAACCAAUUAACUCAUUCAAAAUGAAAAUGCUUCAUUUUGAAAGUGGAACGAUGGGGCAUUGUAACCGUUAGGUUCCAUUAGAAGCUUGUAGCUCCACCACAAGUAUAAAAAAUAAACAAAAUCCCUAAAAAUAAUCCUAAAACACCCCUAUUGCAAACAUAAUGAAAUCAGUGAGAAAUAUAUUUCUCACAUUUCUCAGCAAUUGAGUGCCGUAAUCUCAUACUAAAAUGUCACUGUCAGCGGUUGACACAUAUGUAGACCAGUUUGAACGGAAGGGACAAAUCUUUACUUGGCCCUUUCUCGUCCACAAACAGAUGGAGCGCAUGUGAGAUGAUGAAUAGGGUGCAUUAGCCGCGAAUAUUGUCCACACAUAAUGUUUUUUUUAAUGCAACAGCAUUUACCUAUAAAAGAAGGGUUCUGAUGUGGAAACGCUCUCCUUUUCGCUUGUGAUCCUGGACCGAUUAGUAGUGGGCGCGUGUGUAGAAUACUCCAAGAUUUUGAGGUUAGAUUGUGAUACCUCGUUUUUGUGGAAAUGGUAUAAUUCAGUGUUAUUUUCUUAAAAUAGGUUCAGCACCUGUACAGCUAGUUUGUUAGUAACUUAAAACUAGUGUUAAUCUGUAAAAACUGAAACGCUAAAGGUUCCUACUAUACUGCAUCUGAAAAGUGAAACUAAAACUAAACAGAGAAACUUGUAAGAAAAAGGCCCAAGAAGUGGGCCUUUUUCUUCUACUCGGCAGUAAAGCUCGACAAGUGGCCAACCUACGGCGAAAUCAAGACCUUGGAGUGAAGCGCGUCGUGGCCAGGGGAACAGCGGAAGAAACGCGCAAGGUCGGUAUCCUUGCAGCAGGUUUGGAAUGCUUUCCGGAACCGUCGGUGGUCCACCAUUUUGUGGGAUUAGAGUAGCCACUUUCUGGACGUCGACCAAAGCCUCGGCGACGCCAUAUUUCCAUCAUUUUCCAGCCCGAUCCGUUGGCAUGAACGGCAUCCCGUUUCCGGAACCGUCUGGAGAUUUCAAUCGUCCUUCGAAUCCCGGACGAAUCCCAGUUCCUCGAAACGUUCCUCGUCCAAAGCCAGUGUACCACUCCUCGGCCAAAUUGAAAACUACCCCGAACAUCAGCAACGAUACAAAUUAUGCGCAAG